UUGUUUUAUAGAACAAGACUUUUGACCUCUUGAUCAUCUCAAUAAAUCAUUUAGGUUUUAAGACUGUGCACGCCAAGCAUUAUUAUUAAGUUUCUGAAUUCUGCUCAAUAGAUUUCAUAACUUGACAUUAAUUUGAUGGCAAACCAGUAAUUAAACGACUUUCUAUAAAUUUGGCAACUUUUUAUUUAAUUAUUUUAUGGUGUUAUACUUGCUUAUUUUUAGAAUUGAAUCAUUAACUAGAUUCCAUUUUCAUUUAAUAUAUAAAGCAAUGAAUAUUGCUACUGUUAAGCUGAAUUAAUUAUUUACUUACCAAUCUAAACAUCAUAUUUUCUGGUAUAGCUAUUAAUAAUUUCUGUAUUUGAAUUUAACAAGAAAAGAACUUGGG
rnacentral:lncRNA from 1 species